ACAGGUGGCUUCUUAAAUUAAAACUUAAAUUAGUUAAAAUUAAAAAUUCAGUUCCUUAGUUGCACUAGUCACAGUCAAGUGCCCAAUAGCUACAUGUGGCUGUGGCUACGGCAUAGAGCAAGCAGAUAUAGAAUGUUUCCAUCGGCGCCUAUUUCAUCAUCUGAGAGGGGAGUGACAGGGACCUCAGAUGUCGCAUGAGAUGGUGCAUGUAGAGACACGUUGCAUAUUAUGAAGUGAAACACAAGUUUUAUUGUCAGCCUUGACUUGUCAUUUGGAUGGAUGCAAAGUGGAUUCCAGGUUCCUAAUGAAAAGCUUUAUGAAAUAAUCUGAAUCUUUUGGUGUAUCUGUUAAACAGUUUUCUAAGUCAGCCCUAUUUUUUUUCCAUUAUAAUCAGCAGUGCUGAGAACCCACCCUUUCUGAGCAGAAAGAGGGUGAAAUUCUUGUCCACUCUAAAUGCUGGAUUCCCACUGUCCUCAAUCAAUCAACACCUCUUCCUGGAUAAGCUCAGGGACUCCUUUUGACCCCAACUCCCAGCCUCCAGUUCUACAGCAGCAUAGUACCUUCGGGAGGGCGUAAAGCUAUCCUCCCUCGGCCCCUGCUGUCAUACAUAGGCGCUGUCCCCUUCUCUCCACAUCCCAGCCGUUGCUGCCCUCUCAGCCUCUCCAUUCUGAUGAUGGGCAACAUGAAGAUGUUAAGGACCCUUGGCAAACUCCAGGGUUUCUUUACAAUUAGUAAUCCUUUCUGAUGAUCUGAAAGUGUGUUAGCACACUUCUCCCAGUGCUCAACAGCAUGAAAGGCUGUGUUCUCUCCUGCCCGGAACAACAGGAUCUCCUUUCCCUCCCUUAACACCCCUCCAUCACCAUCACCACAAGUUCCUGCUCUCCGCACGCUUGUCCUGGGAAUCAAGCAGUGGAGACGUAUGCUGGAAGAGAAGGAGCUUGGGCCUGAGGUAGGUGUGGGCUGGCUCUCACCUCUGUCAUGGCUUAGCUUGUGACUUUGGCAAGUUACUCGACUUCCUUGAAGCAAGUGUUUGUCUGUUUUCUUUCAUUUGCAUAAAUGAGGGUAAUAGCAUCCACUUUGCAAAACUGUGGUAAGAACAAAAUGAGCUAUGGGCUAAAAUGCUUAGGGCAGUGCUGUGCCCGGCAUGCAGCAUUUGGCACACAGCUGGUGCCACAGAAAUCAGUAGUUGUGUUUAUUCAAGAGCCAUCCUCAGUUCUGGCGGAACAUGGUGUUUACCCUUUCUCUUGUAAAACAAUGAAAGGAUCUCAGACACUUCAUUGUCUAAACAUUGUUGGAUGGGACUAAACAGCUUCAAGUGAAUGUGCCAGCUACAACAAGCAUAUUGCAGCAAAUACUCUUCUUUAUCCCCAUAAAGCCAUUCCCUCUUCUUUACCUUUAUAACAGAAUCCAGAUUUUGUUUAGGUGUCUGGCGUCCAGGGCUCCCUCUCCAGGUCCAAAGAAAUGUUACUCUUUAUUGGUCCAAACAAUUGAGUUAAUAUUCUCCUUGCUGGUGAUUCAUGUAAAAAUGGUCGUGUGAUGUACUUGUGAGUGGUUGUGCCCCUGUGGAAUGACUGAACCUGUGGCCCUCUUGUGUCACGAGGGGACAAGUUUGAAGACCAAGGCCAACAUGCUCAGAUGGCAGAGCGUAAAGAUGGAAAGAACCUGGCUCCAUGAAGUCCUCAAGCUGUUAUAUUAACUGGCCCUAGAAUCAUCCUAUUUCUAGACUUUUGGUGAGAUAAUAAAUUUAUUUUAUUUAAAAAAUCAA